AUCGAACGCUGGCGGCAGGCCUAACACAUGCAAGUCGAACGAGUGGCGGACGGGUGAGUAAUGUCUGGGAACCUGCCUGCUGGAGGGGGAUAACUACUGGAAACGGUAGCUAAUACCGCAUACCAUCAGAUGUGCCCAGAUGGGAUUAGCUUGUUGGUGGGGUAACGGCGCCCCAAGGCGCCGAUCCCUAGCUGGUCUGAGAGGAUGAGCAGCCACACGGGAACUGAGACACGGUCAAGACUCCUACGGUAGGCAGCGGGGGAGAAUAGUGCGCAAUGGGCGCAAGCCUGAUGCAGCGAUGCCGCGUGUAUGAAGAAGGCCUUCGGGUUGUAAAGUACUUUCAGCGGGGAGGCGUUACCCGCAGAAGAAGCACCGGCUAACUCCGUGCCAGCAGCCGCGGUAAUUC
rnacentral:rRNA from 1 species